GCCGUGUCGGUUGUUAAACGCUUUCGUAACGGGACGUUUGCACUCACCAAAGGUCUGUCUUUGCCUCUGAGUGAUUCCGAUUCCGACUGGGAUUUGGUUUUGGAUGCGGAUUCGUUGGCCGCGUCUGCUGCGUUGCACACAAUCGCCGCAUAUAAUAAUAAUAUAUACGAUACGAUAAUACACAAUACACUGUAAUCGACGGCAUAUAUAUUUGGGCUUCGCCCAACUCGCUCGUUAUGCAAAUCGAGGCGGCAGAAGGUGAAGGCGUUCAAAUUCAAAUUUACAUUCAGAUUCAACCUGAGAGUCUGUUACAAAUGCAGCGGGCGCGAUUCGCGGGCGUGUCGCAGCAGCAACAACAGUUGCAGCAGCAGCAGCAGUAGCUGCAUGCAGUCGCUGGUUCUACUCGCUCUGUUGCAGUGGCCUAAAGCGACGGCACAAAUUUGGCAAGAAAAUUCGUGCAAGUGAUUGCAACGCGUAUUAGCCAGGGCCAACCAGUUGAGAACCAAAAUCGAACGCAAUUAAAGCUUAUGACACUAACGACAACAACAGCAGCAGCACAACAAUAACAACAACAACACGACAACAACACAACAACAACGCACUGUGUGACACACAAAAAGUAUCUGAAAGAUCGCUGCAAUUGGUGGACGUGUGUGGAAAAAAACAGCUCGGCCGCCGCAUAGCAAGCCAAAAUCAAAAAUAAAUACAACAAAACCGAAAGAAGAAAUAAAAAAAUAAUACAAAAAAAAAAAAAUCAAAUAAAAUAUAGCAACAAUUUAUACACAAGAUCGAAAAGUGUUAAAAUUCAAAAUAAACUUCACAACUAAGUGUGCCAAUAACAAAAACAACAACAAAUACAACAAGUAACUGUGCUAGUAGCUAGAAGAAGCGUGUAGAAUACGAUUUGUCUAGCAAUCUCCAGCCGUAUGUGUGCGUGUACGUGUGUGUGUGCGUUUAAUUUGCAAAGUCAGCGAAAUAAAAAUACGGAAAAUACCAAGAAAAAAAAACAACACAACAACAAUAA